rnacentral:tRNA from 1 species
UGAGGGGUCGUCUAACGGUAGGACGCCGGCCUUUGGAGCCGUGAAUGGGGGUUCGACUCCUCCCCCCUCAGCCA